rnacentral:rRNA from 1 species
UACGGGGGGAGCAAGCGUUGUUCGGAUUUACUGGGCGUAAAGGGCGCGUAGGCGGCCUGCUACGUCGAACGUGAAAUCCCUGGGCUCAACCCAGGAACUGCGUCCGAUACUGGUUGGCUUGAAUCCGGGAGAGGGAUGUGGAAUUCCAGGUGUAGCGGUGAAAUGCGUAGAUAUCUGGAGGAACACCGGUGGCGAAGGCGACAUCCUGGACCGGUAUUGACGCUGAGUGAGCGAAAGCCAGGGGAGCAAACGGG